ACUUAAAUAGUUUAUUAAAAAAUAUUGGUUUGUGAGCCCAAAGAUGUGUGGAUACACUUUAGGUA
rnacentral:tRNA from 1 species